CAGUCGCCGCGGGAAUACGGAGGGUGCAAGCGUUAUCCGGAUUUAUUGGGUUUAAAGGGUCCGUAGGCGGAUCUGUAAGUCAGUGGUGAAAUCUCACAGCUUAACUGUGAAACUGCCAUUGAUACUGCAGGUCUUGAGUAAAUUUGAAGUGGCUGAAAUAAGUAGUGUAGCGGUGAAAUGCAUAGAUAUUACUUAGAACACCAAUUGCGAAGGCAGGUCACUAAGAUUUAACUGACGCUGAUGGACGAAAGCGUGGGGAGCGAACAGGAUUAGAUACCCGAGUAGUCCCUGUCUCUUAUAC
rnacentral:rRNA from 1 species